CUUCUCUCAAUCGUCGUCGCCGGCGAUUCCUCUGCCGUCUCUGUGUCUGGCGCCGUCUUGCUUCCUCUUGAUUUCAGCUUGAAGCUUCCUAUUGGUUUUGGAUCUACAUUACAUCAAAGGUUAUCAAUGGAAAACAAUCUAGGAAGCACGACCACUACUAAGGAGUUUCCCAAGCUCCUUUUCGGACAUGGUAAAGAGCCUGAAGUUGAGAAAAUUAACAACAGCUGCAGAUUAUCGAUACUUAGGAAAAUC